AGAGUUUGAUCAUGGCUCAGAUUGAACGCUGGCGGAAUUUACACAUGCAAGUCGAACGGCAGCACGGGGGCAACCCUGGUGGCGAGUGGCGAACGGGUGAGUAAUACAUCGGAACGUGCCCAGUCGUGGGGGAUAACGUAGCGAAAGCUACGCUAAUACCGCAUACGAACUCUGGUUGAAAGCGGGGGAUCGCAAGACCUCGCGCGAUUGGAGCGGCCGAUGGCAGAUUAGGUAGUUGGUGGGGUAAAGGCUCACCAAGCCGACGAUCUGUAGCUGGUCUGAGAGGACGACCAGCCACACUGGGACUGAGACACGGCCCAGACUCCUACGGGAGGCAGCAGUGGGGAAUUUUGGACAAUGGGCGCAAGCCUGAUCCAGCCAUUCCGCGUGCAGGAUGAAGGCCCUCGGGUUGUAAACUGCUUUUGGACGGAACGAAAAGGCCUUUCCUAAUACGGAGGGCUCAUGACAGUACCGUCAGAAUAAGCACCGGCUAACUACGUGCCAGCAGCCGCGGUAAUACGUAGGGUGCAAGCGUUAAUCGGAAUUACUGGGCGUAAAGCGUGCGCAGGCGGUUAUGUAAGACAGGUGUGAAAUCCCCGGGCUUAACCUGGGAACUGCAUUUGUGACUGCAUAGCUAGAGUACGGUAGAGGGGGAUGGAAUUCCGCGUAGCAGUGAAAUGCGUAGAUAUGCGGAGGAACACCGAUGGCGAAGGCAAUCCCCUGGACCUGUACUGACGCUCAUGCACGAAAGCGUGGGGAGCAAACAGGAUUAGAUACCCUAGUAGUCC
rnacentral:rRNA from 1 species